UAGGGAAUAUUGGACAAUGGAGGAAACUCUGAUCCAGCCAUGCCGCGUGCAGGAUGAAUGCCCUAUGGGUUGUAAACUGCUUUUCUCAGGGAAGAAACCUGGAUAUUCAUAUCCAGCUGACGGUACCUGAGGAAUAAGCACCGGCUAACUCCGUGCCAGCAGCCGCGGUAAUACGGAGGGUGCAAGCGUUAUCCGGAUUCACUGGGCUUAAAGGGUGCGUAGGUGGAACGGUAAGUCAGUGGUGAAAGCUCCCCGCUCAACGGGGAAAUUGCCAUUGAUACUGUCGUUCUUGAGUACAGUUGAGGCAGGCGGAAUGGGUCAUGUAGCGGUGAAAUGCUUAGAUAUGACCCAGAACACCGAUUGCGAAGGCAGCUUGCUAAACUGUUACUGACGCUGAGGCACGAAAGCGUGGGGAGCGAACAGG
rnacentral:rRNA from 1 species